rnacentral:rRNA from 1 species
AUGUGUUUAUUAGAUAAAAAACCAAUGCCCUUCGGGGCUCUUUGGUGAUUCAUGAUAACUUUACGGAUCGCAUAGCCUUGCGCUGGCGACGGUUCAUUCAAAUUUCUGCCCUAUCAACUUUCGAUGGUAAGGUAUUGGCUUACCAUGGUUUCAACGGGUAACGGGGAAUUAGGGUUCGAUUCCGGAGAGGGAGCCUGAGAAACGGCUACCACAUCCAAGGAAGGCAGCAGGCGCGCAAAUUACCCAAUCCCGACACGGGGAGGUAGUGACAAUAAAUACUGAUACAGGGCUCUUUUGGGUCUUGUAAUUGGAAUGAGUACAAUUUAAACCUCUUAACGAGGAACAAUUGGAGGGCAAGUCUGGUGCCAGCAGCCGCGGUAAUUCCAGCUCCAAUAGCGUAUAUUAAAGUUGUUGCAGUUAAAAAGCUCGUAGUUGAAACUUGGGCUGGCUGGCGGGUCCGCCUCACCGCGUGCACUCGUCCGGCCGGGCCUUCCUUCUGAAGAACCUCAUGCCCUUCACUGGGCGUGUUGGGGAAUCAGGACUUUUACUUUGAAAAAAUUAGAGUGUUCAAAGCAGGCCUUUGCUCGAAUACGUUAGCAUGGAAUAAUAAAAUAGGGCGUGCGUUUCUAUUUUGUUGGUUUCUAGAGACGCCGCAAUGAUUAACAGGAACAGUCGGGGGCAUCAGUAUUCAGUUGUCAGAGGUGAAAUUCUUGGAUUUACUGAAGACUAACUACUGCGAAAGCAUUUGCCAAGGAUGUUUUCAUUAAUCAGUGAACGAAAGUUAGGGGAUCGAAGACGAUCAGAUACCGUCGUAGUCUUAACCGUAAACUAUGCCGACUAGGGAUCGGGCGAUGUUCUUUUUCUGACUCGCUCGGCACCUUACGAGAAAUCAAAGUU